UACAGAGGUCCCAAGCGUUGUUCGGAUUCAUUGGGCGUAAAGGGUGUGUAGGUGGCGCCGUAAGUGGGGUGUGAAAUCUCGGGGCUUAACUCCGAAACUGCAUUCCAUACUGCGGUGCUUGAGGACUGGAGAGGAGACUGGAAUUCAUGGUGUAGCAGUGAAAUGCGUAGAGAUCAUGAGGAAGACCAGUGGCGAAGGCGGGUCUCUGGACAGUUCCUGACACUGAGACACGAAGGCCAGGGGAGCAAACGGG
rnacentral:rRNA from 1 species